CCGGCCGGGACGGCAGAGCGCAAGUCGAAGCGAGCGGGUGCGGCUGCUUCGCCGGCGGCGGCCGCGGGAGGAGGAUGGGGCUGGGGGGCCGAGGCGUGGUGGGCGAGAGGUGGUCGCAGCGCAUCCUCUGGAUCUGCGCCCUCGGCAGCGCCGUAAGCAUAUACUUCGUGGCGGUUGAGAGGCAGGCGCAAAACCGCGCGCGGGCGGUGGCGGAGGGUCUCAAGGCCCUCGACGGCGCCGGGAAGGACGUGUGAGUCGCUGCGUAGAGAUGAACACUUCCGUGGAGACGCGCUCGUUUGCUGGAUCUUGUGGGUGUCAUCUCUAGCCUACCCCAACUUGCUUGGGACAAAGGCUGCUGCUGCUGUAUUAUCUUUUGUGUGGUUGUGAUGCAAGAACCCAUCAUCCUUCUUUGGUCAUCUAUAAUCUUGAAAACCUGAAAUAUACUUGCGUCCGAUCAGCGGUGGAUCCACGGGGCUUGAGGAGGAGGAAGGAAGAAGAGAAAAGAGGAGCGGAAUGAGAAAGAAGAGGAAGGAGAGUCUCCCUCCUUGUUGGCUCUGGAUCCACCUAUGCGUGAUUGAAACUAUUAGUUGAUCAUAGUCUUUGCUGCCUUUGUAUUUCUUUGUCAUUAUCCUAAUCGCAUAUAUGGAACAAAAAUGCCAGUGAUGUACAGAAGAAGAAUUCAUAUUAGUGCUGUUUGUGUUUGUAAUUGCGUAAUUGCUGCCACUUUAGCUAUAUGUGUUUGUAACUGUCACAUAAUCAAAAGAUACCUUCUAAUAAAACCCGUGAUGGCGGUUAUGUGC